GUAGCUCAGUGGUAGAGCUUGUGCUUAACAUGAACAAGGCCCUGGGUUCAAUACCCAGC
rnacentral:tRNA from 1 species